UACGUAUGGUGCAAGCGUUAUCCGGAUUUACUGGGUGUAAAGGGAGCGUAGACGGAGAGGCAAGUCUGGAGUGAAAACCCAGGGCUCAACCCUGGGACUGCUUUGGAAACUGCAAUUCUGGAGUGCCGGAGAGGUAAGCGGAAUUCCUAGUGUAGCGGUGAAAUGCGUAGAUAUUAGGAGGAACACCAGUGGCGAAGGCGGCUUACUGGACGGUGACUGACGUUGAGGCUCGAAAGCGUGGGGAGCAAACAGG
rnacentral:rRNA from 1 species